UACGUAGGGGGCAAGCGUUGUCCGGAUUUAUUGGGCGUAAAGAGCGUGUAGGCGGCCAUACAGGUCCGUUGUGAAAACUCGAGGCUUAACCUCGAGACGUCGAUGGAAACCGUAUGGCUAGAGUCCGGAAGAGGAGAGUGGAAUUCCUGGUGUAGCGGCGAAAUGCGCAGAUAUCAGGAAGAACACCCGUGGCGAAGGCGGCUCUCUGGGACGGUACUGACGCUGAGACGCGAAAGCGUGGGGAGCGAACAGG
rnacentral:rRNA from 1 species